UACGAAGGGGGCUAGCGUUGCUCGGAAUCACUGGGCGUAAAGGGUGCGUAGGCGGGUUUUUAAGUCAGGGGUGAAAUCCUGGAGCUCAACUCCAGAACUGCCUUUGAUACUGAAGAUCUUGAGUCCGGGAGAGGUGAGUGGAACUGCGAGUGUAGAGGUGAAAUUCGUAGAUAUUCGCGAGAACACCAGUGGAGAAGGCAGCUCACUGGCCCGGUACUGACGCAGGCACGAAAGCGUGGGGAGCAAACAGG
rnacentral:rRNA from 1 species